AGCAGGGAUUUAAGAUCGAGAUACCAGGAGAUACUGAAGAGCCAGGAUCCUUUACGUAGGGACUUGAGAAGGAUGCAUUUGUCCGACGGUGUCUGAAAGAUGCAGGGACUCAUUCCAGUCAUCGUAAGGAUGGUGACUUCACUAGCUCAGAUUUCCUACCUCAGUCCCAUGGAAACAUGGAGUGGAGAGUAUAAUUGACCAGGCCAGUGCGAGCUGGAGUAGGUGACUGACUUCUGCAGCCAAAGCACAUCUCAAAUCUCAAAGUGAAACUCAGUCAAAAUCUCAGGAGAUGUGAUCUAAAAACCCUAAAGGGAUUUAUGUUUCCUUACAACAAGGACAGUAGUCAUUGGAGAGAGUGUUAAAUCCCACUGUGUUGCAACCUUUGCAGCAUUUAACCAAGGCACUGUGACCCCGAGGAGUUAAGCAGGGUCAUUUCUCAUUUGCAAAUGAUUCGGAAAGGGGCAUGAAUACUUCCUUCCAGGAACACUGCCUGGAAUGACACUUCUGCAUGCUAAGUCAUGCUGUAACUACACGUGGUAAGAGUAACAAUCAAAUAAAAUUGAAAUAUUUGCAUACUUGGAAAUGAAAUUAAAGAGAAUCUGGGACAGGGAUGUGCAACAUGUAGCUGUGUUUUAAAGUUUUGUGUGACAGAAAAAAAAUAAAAAUAAAA